rnacentral:rRNA from 1 species
AGCGAACGCUGGCGGCAGGCCUAACACAUGCAAGUCGAACGAACUCUUCGGGGUUAGUGGCGGACGGGUGAGUAACACGUGGGAACGUGCCUUUUGGUUCGGAAUAACUCAGGGAAACUUGUGCUAAUACCGAAUGUGCCCUUCGGGGGAAAGAUUUAUCGCCAUUAGAGCGGCCCGCGUCUGAUUAGCUAGUUGGUGAGGUAACGGCUCACCAAGGCGACGAUCAGUAGCUGGUCUGAGAGGAUGACCAGCCACACUGAGACUGAGACACGGCCCAGACUCCUACGGGAGGCAGCAGUGGGGAAUCUUGCGCAAUGGGCGAAAGCCUGACGCAGCCAUGCCGCGUGAAUGAUGAAGGUCUUAGGAUUGUAAAAUUCUUUCACCGGGGACGAUAAUGACGGUACCCGGAGAAGAAGCCCCGGCUAACUUCGUG